rnacentral:rRNA from 1 species
UCUAGAAGCAUCCGCAAUGGGGGCAACCCUGACGGUGCGACGCCGCGUGAGUGAAGAAGGCCUUCGGGUUGUAAAGCUCUUUCGCCUGGGGCGAAGGCUUGAUGGUUAAUACCUGUCAAGCGUGACGGUACCAGGUAAAGAAGCACCGGCUAACUCCGUGCCAGCAGCCGCGGUAAUACGGGGGGUGCAAGCGUUGUUCGGAUUUAUUGGGCGUAAAGAGCUCGUAGGCGGCCAGACAAGUCUGGAUUGAAAUACCCACCGCUCAACGGGGGUACUGGUCUGGAAACUGUCUGGCUUGAGUGCAGAAGGGGAAUGUGGAAUUCCUGGUGUAGCGGUGAAAUGCGUAGAUAUCAGGAGGAACACCGGUGGCGAAGGCGGCAUUCUGGUCUGCAACUGACGCUGAGGAGCGAAAGCCAGGGGAGCGAACGGG